AUGCCCGAGAGGAAGGUCAGCUCCACCGAAGGGGCCGCCAAGGAAGAGGCCAAGAGGAGAUCGCCGCGGUUGUCAGCUAAACUUGCUCCUGCAAAAAUGGAAGCGAAGCCGAAAAAGGCAGCAGCAAAGCAUUGAAACCACCAUCUGUAAAGCUCUACAUGUUCUUCACGGGGUGAAUAAUUUCUACCCAAAACUUGGGUUAAAGCUUGAAACGAGGAAGUACAAAUAAAAGGGCAAAGGGGAGCAAAGGGAAAACAGGCUGAAAGAAACUAAAGAAGAUUUACCUGCAGAAAAGGGGGAAAUGAAAACUGAGGGGAGUCCAGCCUCUGAUGAAGCAGGAGAGAAAGAAGCCAAGUCUGAUUAA
rnacentral:lncRNA from 1 species